rnacentral:misc_RNA from 1 species
AGAGAGAGAGAAAGAGAGAGAUGGAAGGUGGUGAUCAGAACACAAAUGAAGUAUACAAAGAAUGCCUGAGAAAUCAUGCAGCAAGCCUGGGAAGCUAUGCCACAGAUGGAUGUGGAGAGUUCACACUUGACCAAGCCUCUCCUUCCACCCUCCAAUGCGCUGCGUGCGGCUGUCACCGGAAUUUUCACCGCAAAGUAACAUACAGCAGCAGCAGCAGCCGCCCUGACUCCACCGUUAUGGAAAUGAUGGAAUACGUGGAUGUGGGUAGCAGGCUGCCGGGAGAGAGAAGUAGCGGAAAGACAAAGAGAUUCAGGACAAAGUUUACUGCAGAACAGAAAGAGAAGAUGUUGGGAUUUGCAGAGAAGUUAGGUUGGAAGUUGCAGAGGAAAGAUGAAGAAGAUGAGGUAGAGAGAUUCUGUAGAGGAGUUGGAAUUAGUAGACAGGUUUUCAAAGUAUGGAUGCAUAAUCAUAAGAAUUCUUCAUCUUCUUCUUCUGCUGCUUCUACUGGGAAUGCUUCUUCCCUUACCACUCAGUAAGAGAUAGGAUUUCUUUUUCCAUUUUUGCUUCUUUUUCUUUAUUCUCUCUCUUAUUAAUGUAUUUUUUUUUAUA